CCUACGGGAGGCAGCAGUGAGGAAUAUUGGUCAAUGGACGAGAGUCUGAACCAGCCAAGUAGCGUGAAGGAUGACUGCCCUAUGGGUUGUAAACUGCUUUUGUACAAGGGUAAACCUGAAUACGUGUAUUCAGCUGAAAGUACUGUACGAAUAAGGAUCGGCUAACUCCGUGCCAGCAGCCGCGGUAAUACGGAGGAUCCAAGCGUUAUCCGGAUUUAUUGGGUUUAAAGGGUGCGUAGGCGGAUUGAUAAGUUAGAGGUGAAAUGUCCGAGCUUAACUCGGGAACUGCCUCUAAUACUGUUGAUGUAGAGAGUAGAUGCGGUAGGCGGAAUGUAUGGUGUAGCGGUGAAAUGCUUAGAGAUCAUACAGAACACCGAGUGCGAAGGCAGCUUACCAAUCUAUAUCUGACGUUGAGGCACGAAAGCGUGGGGAGCAAACAGGAUUAGAUACCCUUGUAGUC
rnacentral:rRNA from 1 species